rnacentral:lncRNA from 1 species
UGGAAUUCAUCAAGGAAUUAUUUAUUGCCUUUAUUUUUCAUCAGCCAGCAAGAAUUUAGAAUCCAUUGGUAUUCUUCAAAAUCACCCUGUCUUGUGUAUUGGCAAGUUCACCCAGGUGAGGUGCCUGAGAGUACCUGAGGAUGCAUCGUCACUGGCAUGGCAUUAGGCAGGUGCCAGUCUCCAGAGAGACCUCCUCACAGUGGCUUUGCCCAAGGCAGCUUUCAGCACAAGUCUGGAGGGCAGCUUGUCAUGGGAUAUUAUUGGAGCUACAUGAAUUCACACCAGCUGUCGCGGUCUGUUUUAUCAAUGACCUUUCAUUCUUAAAGGCAGUGAAGAGGCACCGGGACCUGCUCUUUCCCCCCGACAUCAGUUUGCAGAGGGACAGCUCUGUGAGGGCCACGGGGGACAGGGACCCUGGGCAGGUGCGUCCCUCCGCGCUUGCUGCAGGGAGGGAGCGUCCCAG